CAGCAGUGGGGAAUAUUGCGCAAUGGGCGAAAGCCUGACGCAGCGACGCCGCGUGGGGGAUGACGGCCUUCGGGUUGUAAACCUCUUUCAGCAGGGACGAAGCGCAAGUGACGGUACCUGCAGAAGAAGCACCGGCCAACUACGUGCCAGCAGCCGCGGUAAUACGUAGGGUGCAAGCGUUGUCCGGAAUUAUUGGGCGUAAAGAGCUCGUAGGCGGUUUGUUGCGUCGGCUGUGAAAUCCCGAGGCUCAACCUCGGGUCUGCAGUCGAUACGAGCAAACUAGAGUGUUGCAGGGGAGACUGGAAUUCCUGGUGUAGCGGUGAAAUGCGCAGAUAUCAGGAGGAACACCGGUGGCGAAGGCGGGUCUCUGGGCAACAACUGACGCUGAGGAGCGAAAGCGUGGGGAGCGAACAGGAUUAGA
rnacentral:rRNA from 1 species